rnacentral:rRNA from 1 species
AACGUAGGUGGCAAGCGUUAUCCGGAUUUACUGGGCGUAAAGGGUGUGCAGGCGGGGUUGCAAGUGGUGUAUGAAAUCUCCCGGCUUAACCGGGAGGGGUUAUGCCAGACUGCAAUUCUAGAGGACGAGAGAGGGGGGUGGAAUUCCUGGUGUAGCGGUGAAAUGCGCAGAUAUCAGGAAGAACACCCGUGGCGAAGGCGGCUCUCUGGGACGGAACUGACGCUGAGGCGCGAAAGCGUGGGGAGCGAACAGG